UAAGUUAGAAAGGGCGCACGGUGGAUGCCUUGACACUAGGAGUCGAUGAAGGACGGGACUAACGCCGAUAUGCUUCGGGGAGCUGUAAGUAAGCUUUGAUCCGAAGAUUUCCGAAUGGGGAAACCCACCAUACGUAAUGGUAUGGUAUCCUUAUCUGAAUACAUAGGGUAAGGAAGACAGACCCAGGGAACUGAAACAUCUAAGUACCUGGAGGAAGAGAAAGCAAAUGCGAUUUCCUGAGUAGCGGCGAGCGAAACGGAACAUAGCCCAAACCAAGAGGCUUGCCUCUUGGGGUUGUAGGACAUUCUAUACGGAGUUACAAAGGAACGAGGUAGACGAAGCGACCUGGAAAGGUCCGUCGUAGAGGGUAACAACCCCGUAGUCGAAACUUCGUUCUCUCUUGAAUGUAUCCUGAGUACGGCGGAACACGUGAAAUUCCGUCGGAAUCUGGGAGGACCAUCUCCCAAGGCUAAAUACUCCCUAGUGAUCGAUAGUGAACCAGUACCGUGAGGGAAAGGUGAAAAGCACCCCGGAAGGGGAGUGAAAGAGAUCCUGAAACCGUGUGCCUACAAAUAGUCAGAGCCCGUUAACGGGUGAUGGCGUGCCUUUUGUAGAAUGAACCGGCGAGUUACGAUCCCGUGCGAGGUUAAGCUGAAGAGGCGGAGCCGCAGCGAAAGCGAGUCUGAAUAGGGCGUUUAGUACGUGGUCGUAGACCCGAAACCAGGUGAUCUACCCAUGUCCAGGGUGAAGUUCAGGUAACACUGAAUGGAGGCCCGAACCCACGCACGUUGAAAAGUGCGGGGAUGAGGUGUGGGUAGCGGAGAAAUUCCAAUCGAACCUGGAGAUAGCUGGUUCUCCCCGAAAUAGCUUUAGGGCUAGCCUUAAGUGUAAGAGUCUUGGAGGUAGAGCACUGAUUGGACUAGGGGUCCUCAUCGGAUUACCGAAUUCAGUCAAACUCCGAAUGCCAAUGACUUAUCCUUAGGAGUCAGACUGCGAGUGAUAAGAUCCGUAGUCAAAAGGGAAACAGCCCAGACCGCCAGCUAAGGUCCCAAAGUGUGUAUUAAGUGGAAAAGGAUGUGGAGUUGCUUAGACAACUAGGAUGUUGGCUUAGAAGCAGCCACCAUUUAAAGAGUGCGUAAUAGCUCACUAGUCGAGUGACUCUGCGCCGAAAAUGUACCGGGGCUAAAUACACCACCGAAGCUGCGGAUUGAUACCAAUGGUAUCAGUGGUAGGGGAGCGUUCUAAGGACAGUGAAGUCAGACCGUAAGGACUGGUGGAGUGCUUAGAAGUGAGAAUGCCGGUAUGAGUAGCGAAAGACGGGUGAGAAUCCCGUCCACCGAAUGCCUAAGGUUUCCUGAGGAAGGCUCGUCCGCUCAGGGUUAGUCAGGACCUAAGCCGAGGCCGACAGGCGUAGGCGAUGGACAACAGGUUGAUAUUCCUGUACCACCUCUUUAUCGUUUGAGCAAUGGAGGGACGCAGAAGGAUAGAAGAAGCGUGCGAUUGGUUGUGCACGUCCAAGCAGUUAGGCUGAUAAGUAGGCAAAUCCGCUUAUCGUGAAGGCUGAGCUGUGAUGGGGAAGCUCCUUAUGGAGCGAAGUCUUUGAUUCCCCGCUGCCAAGAAAAGCUUCUAGCGAGAUAAAAGGUGCCUGUACCGCAAACCGACACAGGUAGGCGAGGAGAGAAUCCUAAGGUGUGCGAGAGAACUCUGGUUAAGGAACUCGGCAAAAUGACCCCGUAACUUCGGGAGAAGGGGUGCUUUCUUAACGGAAAGCCGCAGUGAAUAGGCCCAAGCGACUGUUUAGCAAAAACACAGCUCUCUGCGAAGCCGUAAGGCGAAGUAUAGGGGGUGACACCUGCCCGGUGCUGGAAGGUUAAGGAGAGGGGUUAGCGUAAGCGAAGCUCUGAACUGAAGCCCCAGUAAACGGCGGCCGUAACUAUAACGGUCCUAAGGUAGCGAAAUUCCUUGUCGGGUAAGUUCCGACCCGCACGAAAGGUGUAACGAUUUGGGCACUGUCUCAACCAGAGACUCGGUGAAAUUAUAGUACCUGUGAAGAUGCAGGUUACCCGCGACAGGACGGAAAGACCCCGUGGAGCUUUACUGUAGCCUGAUAUUGAAUUUUGGUACAGUUUGUACAGGAUAGGCGGGAGCCAUUGAAACCGGAGCGCUAGCUUCGGUGGAGGCGCUGGUGGGAUACCGCCCUGACUGUAUUGAAAUUCUAACCUACGGGUCUUAUCGACCCGGGAGACAGUGUCAGGUGGGCAGUUUGACUGGGGCGGUCGCCUCCUAAAGUGUAACGGAGGCGCCCAAAGGUUCCCUCAGAAUGGUUGGAAAUCAUUCGUAGAGUGCAAAGGCAUAAGGGAGCUUGACUGCGAGACCUACAAGUCGAGCAGGGACGAAAGUCGGGCUUAGUGAUCCGGUGGUUCCGCAUGGAAGGGCCAUCGCUCAACGGAUAAAAGCUACCCCGGGGAUAACAGGCUUAUCUCCCCCAAGAGUCCACAUCGACGGGGAGGUUUGGCACCUCGAUGUCGGCUCAUCGCAUCCUGGGGCUGUAGUCGGUCCCAAGGGUUGGGCUGUUCGCCCAUUAAAGCGGUACGCGAGCUGGGUUCAGAACGUCGUGAGACAGUUCGGUCCCUAUCCGUCGUGGGCGUAGGAAAUUUGAGAGGAGCUGUCCUUAGUACGAGAGGACCGGGAUGGACGCACCGCUGGUGUACCAGUUGUUCUGCCAAGGGCAUAGCUGGGUAGCUAUGUGCGGAAGGGAUAAGUGCUGAAAGCAUCUAAGCAUGAAGCCCCCCUCAAGAUGAGAUUUCCCAUAGCGUAAGCUAGUAAGAUCCCUGAAAGAUGAUCAGGUUGAUAGGUUCGAGGUGGAAGCAUGGUGACAUGUGGAGCUGACGAAUACUAAUAGAUCGAGGACUUAACCA
rnacentral:rRNA from 2 species